GAGCGAACGCUGGCGGCAGGCCUACCACAUGCAAGUCGAACGAACUCUUCGGAGUUAGUGGCGGACGGGUGAGUAACACGUGGGAACGUGCCUUUUGGUUCGGAAUAACUCAGGGAAACUUGUGCUAAUACCGAAUGUGCCCUUCGGGGGAAAGAUUUAUCGCCAUUAGAGCGGCCCGCGUCUGAUUAGCUAGUUGGUGAGGUAACGGCUCACCAAGGCGACGAUCAGUAGCUGGUCUGAGAGGAUGACCAGCCACACUGGGACUGAGACACGGCCCAGACUCCUACGGGAGGCAGCAGUGGGGAAUCUUGCGCAAUGGGCGAAAGCCUGACGCAGCCAUGCCGCGUGAAUGAUGAAGGUCUUAGGAUUGUAAAAUUCUUUCACCGGGGACGAUAAUGACGGUACCCGGAGAAGAAGCCCCGGCUAACUUCGUG
rnacentral:rRNA from 1 species